UGGCGACCGGCGCACGGGUGCGUAACGCGUAUGCAACCUACCUUUAACAGGGGGAUAACACUGAGAAAUUGGUACUAAUACCCCAUAAUAUCAUAGAAGGCAUCUUUUAUGGUUGAAAAUUCCGAUGGUUAGAGAUGGGCAUGCGUUGUAUUAGCUAGUUGGUGGGGUAACGGCUCACCAAGGCGACGAUACAUAGGGGGACUGAGAGGUUAACCCCCACACUGGUACUGAGACACGGACCAG
rnacentral:rRNA from 1 species